AAAUGAAUAGACGGGCACCCGCACAAGCGGUGGAGCAUGCUGUUUAAUUCGAAAAUACGCGAAGAACCUUACCUAGACUUGACAUCCCCGGCAAAGCUAUAGAAAUAUAGUGGAGGUUAUCCGGGUGACAGGUGGUGCAUGGUUGUCGUCAGCUCGUGUCGUGAGAUGUUUGGUUAAGUCCAAUAACGAGCGCAACCCUCGUCUUUAGUUGCUAACAUUUAGUUGAGAACUCUAAAGAUACUGCCAGUGUAAGCUGGAGGAAGGUGGGGAUGACGUCAAAUCAUCAUGCCCCUUAUGUCUAGGGCUACAGGCGUGCUACAAUGGCCAAUACAACGAGUCGCAACACGGUAACGUGAAGCUAAUCUCUUAAAGUUGGUCUCAGUCCGGAUUGUGGUCUGCAACUCGACCACAUGAAGUUGGAAUCGCUAGUAAUCCCGAAUCAGAAUGUCGGGGUGAAUACGUUCCCGGGUGUUGUACACACCGCCCGU
rnacentral:rRNA from 1 species